CAUGUCUAAGUAUAAGCACUCAUACUGCGAAACUGCGAAUGGCUCAUUAAAUCAGUUAUCGUUUAUUUGAUAGUACCUUUACCUGGAUAACCGUGGUAAUUCUAGAGCUAAUACAUGCUAAAAAUCCCGACUUCGGAAGGGAUGUAUUUAUUAGAUAAAAAACCAAUGCCCUUCGGGGCUCCUUGGUGAUUCAUAAUAACUUAACGAAUCGCAUGGCCUUGCGCCGGCGAUGGUUCAUUCAAAUUUCUGCCCUAUCAACUUUCGAUGGUAGGAUAGUGGCCUACCAUGGUCUCAACGGGUAACGGGGAAUUAGGGUUCGAUUCCGGAGAGGGAGCCUGAGAAACGGCUACCACAUCCAAGGAAGGCAGCAGGCGCGCAAAUUACCCAAUCCCGAUACGGGGAGGUAGUGACAAUAAAUACUGAUACAGGGCUCUUUUGGGUCUUGUAAUUGGAAUGAGUACAAUCUAAAUCCCUUAACGAGGAACAAUUGGAGGGCAAGUCUGGUGCCAGCAGCCGCGGUAAUUCCAGCUCCAAUAGCGUAUAUUAAAGUUGUUGCCGUUAAAAAGCUCGUAGUUGAACCUUGGGCCUGGCUGAUCUGUCCUCCUAAUCGAGCGCACGGAUUCGGUCGGGCCUUUCCUUCUGGGGAGCCGCAUGCCCUUCACUGGGCGUGUCGGGGAACCAGGACUUUUACCUUGAAAAAAUUAGAGUGUUCAAAGCAGGCCUUUGCUCGAAUACAUUAGCAUGGAAUAAUAGAAUAGGACAGAGGUUCUAUUUUGUUGGUUUCUAGGACCGCUGUAAUGAUUAAUAGGGAUAGUCGGGGGCGUCCGUAUUCAAUUGUCAGAGGUGAAAUUCUUGGAUUUAUUGAAGACGAACUACUGCGAAAGCAUUCGCCAAGGAUGUUUUCAUUAAUCAGUGAACGAAAGUUAGGGGAUCGAAGACGAUCAGAUACCGUCGUAGUCUUAACCAUAAACUAUGCCGACUAGGGAUCGGACGGUGGUUUUUUUAUGCCCCGUUCGGCACCUUACGAGAAAUCAAAGUGUUUGGGC
rnacentral:rRNA from 1 species